AUACGGAGGGGGUUAGCGUUGUUCGGAAUUACUGGGCGUAAAGCGCACGUAGGCGGAUUGGAAAGUUGGGGGUGAAAUCCCAGGGCUCAACCCUGGAACUGCCUCCAAAACUAACAGUCUAGAGUUUGAGAGAGGUGAGUGGAAUUCCAAGUGUAGAGGUGAAAUUCGUAGAUAUUUGGAGGAGCACCAGUGGCGAAGGCGGCUCACUGGCUCGAUACUGACGCUGAGGUGCGAAAGCGUGGGGAGCAAACAGGAUUAGAUACCCUAGUAGUCC
rnacentral:rRNA from 1 species